rnacentral:rRNA from 1 species
CUUGGUCAUUUAGAGGAAGUAAAAGUCGUAACAAGGUUUCCGUAGGUGAACCUGCGGAAGGAUCAUUAAUGAAAUACAAGGGUGUUCUUUUUAGAAGCCCGAACUAAAUCAUUUCACACUGUGCACUAUACUAUUUUUACACCCAUUUUAAACCCAUUAUAAGUUAUAAGAAUGUCAACAGUCUCUUUAUUGAGCAUAAACAAAACAAAACUUUCGACAACGGAUCUCUUGGCUCCCACAUCGAUGAAGAACGCAGCGAAAUGCGAUACGUAAUGUGAAUUGCAGAAUUCAGUGAAUCAUCGAAUCUUUGAACGCACCUUGCACUCUUUGGUAUUCCGAAGAGUAUGUCUGUUUGAGUGUCGUGAAUCUCUCAACCCCCCUAUUUUGUAAUGAAAUAGGCUUUGUGGGCUUGGAUUGUGGCUGUCUGUCGGACCUCUUUAUUGAGCCGGCUCAGCUGAAAUAUACGAGCGAUCCAAUGUUUCCAUUGUAAAUGUGUUAACGGCUUGACUCGGCGUAAUAAUACUAUUCGCUGAGGACGUUUUCAUUAUAAAAAGGACUUAUUAACGCUUCCAAUGCGACUUUAAUUAGUCAAUUCAUAACUCUAGACCUCAAAUCAGAUAGGACUACCCGCUGAACUUAAGCAUAUCAACACCUGCUUGAGGGUCAGUA